GACGAACGCUGGCGGCGUGCUUAACACAUGCAAGUCGAACGGAGUGGCGAACGGGUGAGUAACACGUGGGUGACCUGCCCUGCACUUCGGGAUAAGCCUGGGUAACUGGGUUUAAUACUGGAUAGUGUGGGAUGGGCCCGCGGCCUAUCGGCUUGUUGGCGGGGUAAUGGCCUACCAAGGCGGCGACGGGUAGCCGGCCUGAGAGGGUGGACGGCCACAAUGGGACUGAGGGAGGGGCCAGACUGCAACGGGGGACAGCGGGGGGGAGUAUUGCACAAUGAGCGGAAGCCUGAUGCGGCGACGCCGCGUGGGGGAUGACGGCCUUCGGGUUGUAAACUCCUUUCGGCAUAGACGCGGUAGAUGGAGAAGAAGCACCGGCUAACUACGUGCCAGCAGCCGCGGUAAUAC
rnacentral:rRNA from 1 species